ACUUUUUAGACCAUUAAUUAUAUCGGUAAAGCGUGUAAACAUGCAUGUGAUGGUUUCAUUGGGUUCCAUCUUAAACAACUCAUAUUUGUGAACUAGAAUGUUCACUUUAGACUCUUUGACUUGAUUUGUACCCUCGUGGGUAACUUCAAGCCUAUCCCAUAUUUCCUUAGCGGAACUACAUGUGGAGACUCUGUUAAACUCAUUUACAUCUAGAGCACAAAAUAAUGAGUUCAUGGCUCUAGAAUUGAGUUGAACCAUCCUACUAUCA
rnacentral:lncRNA from 1 species